UAGCAGUAGGGAAUCUUCCACAAUGGACGAAAGUCUGAUGGAGCAAUGCCGCGUGAGUGAAGAAGGUUUUCGGAUCGUAAAACUCUGUUGUUGAAGAAGAACAUAUGUGAGAGUAACUGUUCACGUACUGACGGUAUUCAACCAGAAAGCCACGGCUAACUACGUGCCAGCAGCCGCGGUAAUACGUAGGUGGCAAGCGUUGUCCGGAUUUAUUGGGCGUAAAGAGAAUGUAGGCGGUUCAUUAAGUUUGAAGUGAAAGCCCUCGGCUCAACCGAGGAAGUGCUUCGAAAACUGGUGAACUUGAGUGCAGAAGAGGAAAGUGGAACUCCAUGUGUAGCGGUGGAAU
rnacentral:rRNA from 1 species